CACCAGGAGCUGAAUCCUCACUUCACACACUCCUAAUAUGGUCAGCCCUGCAGCCAGCAGCCUGGGAGCCAAAGCCUCCUCCUGCCUCCCAAGGUUAACCCUUUGGUGUAGGAAAGAGGGAAACCAGAAUGACGGCUGAUAGUUACAGAGCCUCUGAUUACAAAUAAAAACAAGUGAACCUGCCAUGAUGGAGAAACCAGGACGCAAUCCACUCUCCAAAUAGAAGUGUUUACAGCAUGUGAACGUGAGAUCAAGGAAGCUGGGCAAUGUGAACUGCCUGAACCCCACAGGUCACUGAACUGAAACAGGAAAUCAGAAGAAAGGCAAGGGAGAAAAAACAUUCUUGGGAGGGGGAAAAGACAGCAUAAACAAGAACAGGAAGGGGAAUGCAGAGGAUCUAUCAAGGGGCAGAGCACUGUGGAUUUUGCUAUAAUAUUAAGGACAAGCCAGUCAGUAGUUAGACAGUGAAUGCACCUAAUAAUUCGGUACUGCGGGGACGAAAUACUCAAAGCUCUUCUUUCCUUUGGAGUAAAGAAAACCCCUGUGGCAGCUCUCCCAUAAGAGGCUCUCAAGAUGGCAAUCCUAAUUCUCCUUGUAUCAAUGCAGAAGCCUCAAACAACUACUGAAAGUGUCAAGAAAUGUCAGAAAGAAAGAGAAGCAUUAAAUUAAUAUAUAAGAUUCUAUCUUGUAUCAGUUGACCAAUCUAGUAGACUGUAUUAUAAAAGGGAUAACUGGGAUCCAAUUGGCAGAACAGCAAAAGAAAGUUAAAAGCAUCACUUCAUUUUCAAUAAAGCUUAGAUAAAAAGUGUUUUGCCAGAAAGCUCAUAUUUGUAAGCCAAUUAAAAAAAAAAGAGGCAGGGAAUACUUCUUGUGAGUUCGUCCAGCAUACUUCACCUCAACUCUACAUGCUGACCCCAGUGUGCCUGUCUCACAUCCCCUUCUCCCAGAGCUGGGGGAGAUGCCUACAACAACAAAAGUUGAUAUUACUUGGGUGCUUUGCAUCUCAGUAAUACCAAGCCAUAAACAAAUGUAAAACAUCAACCUAUCUGGUAGUAAUGCAAAGAAGAGGAGGAGAAAGAGGAAGAGGAGGAAGAAGAAGGAGGAGGAGAAAGGAGGAGGGGAGAAGAAGACAUACAAUGAUUUCAGUUUCUGUUCUUUAGUUGAACCUUCUUUGUUCAGCAUUUGACCACUAUCUUGAUGGCAUUUUUUUGUUUUUGUACUGGGCAUCGAACUCAGGGCCUUGUGCUUGCCAGGCAGGUGCUGCAUUACAAAGCUACAUACCCAGCCCAUGAUGGGAUUUUUUUAUAGCUUCUGAAACCAUAGGUCAUUAGCUUUUAGGUGGAAAUAUCUACAUUGGAUUCUCACCUGCCUGAGUUUAACUUAACUUCUGAUGACUUAGGGAGUGAAGGAAGAAGGUACUAGCUGUAUUUAAUUUGGAAUGGGCUGAAGAUGUAUUUUUCUGGGUAGAAACCCUCUCUUCAAGGUUGAUCACUUCAAAUUUCAAGAGCUACAGAUGAAGGAUGACAUGCUUCCUGUGCCAUAGUAAGGCCUUGAGGCUCUCAAUGAAACAUCACUUAAUAUUCAAGGGGUUUCUUUCAUAUGUGCCUUGCUUAGCCUCUGGCUACGGAGAUGGUUAGCUGAAGGUUUUUAUGAACCAUCGCAACGAACAGAACCAUAAAUCUCAAGUCUAAUUAGGAAUGCUAUUCAGUUUUAAGAUGAGCUGACACACUCUUUGUAGGUCUUUGAGUUAGUAAAGCCAGUGGAUCAAUAUCAGCUGAAAGGCUGUUUCUUUCUGUUCACACAUGGAACCCAACAAAGGAAAGAAUUCUUCCUAGGAAACAGCGGAGAGACCUAUUUCUUCCAAAGUGGGCAAAUAUGUAGACAAUGACCAUUUUUCACAAUAAACAUUAGUCAAACUGUUUCUUUUUUAAAGCAUAGAUUUAUUGGGUGAGUUUGUGUGAAUGUGUGCAUUUGGCAAUGUUCUCGAAGGUUGUUCUUUUUUCAUGAGAGGGAAAAAAUAUGUCUCACCAAAGGCCAAGAAAACUAUUUUAGCUAAGAGAAGAGCUGCACUGGGUUGUAAUGUAACCCAGAAAAUAACUGUAGCCAGAGCCAGAAAACACUGUCACUAGAGAGGCCUUGGUAAGAACCAGCCUGUGAUAAGGGCCCCCUAGAUGGCUGCACUUCUAUUUUUAUGACCUCUACUGCAAGAAAAUGACCUUAAGAUAACCUUCAAGUCCUAAAUUUCUCUCUGAAAGAAAAUAUUAGGAGGGAAUAAGAAAAUUAUGGAAAGGCCCUAAAGAUUGAAAGGGAAAUUCUCUUGAAUUUACUUAGAGAGAAAAUAAUCAAAUUCUUUUAAAAUUAUCUUUUAUCUCACAGUACAAAAGAGGAAGUACUAGACACAUAGUCAGACCAAGCUUUCACAAGCCAGUUGCUGAAAUAGGUUAAAUUAAAAGCCAUCGAUUUAAUUAGGUCACCUCAGCACUUUGAUCAGGGAACCAUUUACCAAAUGUGACACCGUUCAAUAUUUGGCUGUUACAGUGGAGGAAGAAAAGAAGAAUCAAUUGUAGAAACUGCCAUGGAUGUGCAUAUAGGC
rnacentral:lncRNA from 1 species